UUUGCUUAAGAUAGUGCUUUCACAUACAAAGGACAAUUAAACGUCACAUAUUCACAAAUUAUUACUUUGUUACUUUUUCGAACAAAAGGCAUAUAGUCACAUUUGAUUUGUUAGUUUUUUAUGGAAUAAAAAACCAAACAUACAAUAAUUUUUAUAUGGUAUAUCGUUUUUGGAUAAUAAUUAUUAUGUUUAUGAUUUCUGUUCACAGAGGAUAUACGCCUCAACUUAGCUGAUAAAUCUUUUAUUGAUCACCUGUGUUAAGGCUGAACCAACCGGUAAAACAUUCCUAACCAAAGAUACAAGAGAAGCAUUGCUGUGAUUAUGUCUUUUUACGUAUGAACUGGAGUGGUUUGGCUCAUAGUCACAUGGAUCGUGGUACGCUCCGGUAUGCGGUACGAAAAGUGGUACAUGGUUCGUGCCUUUCUAAAAUUCAUCGAGUACCUACGUGUUAUUAAAUCGAGGACAAACUUAUUUGGAAUGGCAUUUGUUGAACCCAUUGUCACAUCUGGGGACACGAGAUGAACGACACAAAAAUUUUAACCCAUAUUCAACAGUUUUCACACAUACGUUUCAUCAAGAACCUACAUGUUAUUAAGCCGAGGACAAUUUGGUUUAGCGCGCAGCAACGCGCACAGGGUAUAA